rnacentral:rRNA from 1 species
UACGAGGGGGGGCAAGCGUUGUUCGGAAUUACUGGGCGUAAAGGGCUCGUAGGCGGCCAACUAAGUCGGACGUGAAAUCCCCAGGCUCAACCUGGGAACUGCGUCCGAUACUGGAUGGCUUGAAUCCGGGAGAGGGAUGCAGAAUUCCAGGUGUAGCGGUGAAAUGCGUAGAUAUCUGGAGGAAUACCGGUGGCGAAGGCGGCAUCCUGGACCGGCAUUGACGCUGAGGAGCGAAAGCCAGGGGAGCAAACGGG